rnacentral:rRNA from 1 species
GCACAAUGGGCGCAAGCCUGAUGCAGCCAUGCCGCGUGUAUGUAAGAAGGCCUUCGGGUUGUUAAAGUACUUUCAGUCAGUGAGGAAGGUGGGUAUGUUAAUAGCAUAUUCAUUUGACGUUUAGCUGCAGAAGAAGCACCGGCUAACUCCGUGCCAGCAGCCGCGGUAAUACGGAGGGUGCGAGCGUUAAUCGGAAUUACUGGGCGUAAAGCGCAUGCAGGUGGUUUGUUAAGUCAGAUGUGAAAGCCCGGGGCUCAACCUCGGAAUUGCAUUUGAAAACUGGCAAACUAGAGUACUGUAGAGGGGGUAGAAUUUCAGGUGUAGCGGUGAAAUGCGUAGAGAUCUGAAGGAAUACCGGUGGCGAAGGCGGCCCCCUGGACAGAUACUGACACUCAGAUGCGAAAGCGUGGGGAGCAAACAGGAUUACAUACCCUGGUAG